rnacentral:rRNA from 1 species
GAUCAUGGCUCAGGAUGAACGCUAGCUACAGGCUUAACACAUGCAAGUCGAGGGGCAGCAUGAACUUAGCUUGCUAAGUUUGAUGGCGACCGGCGCACGGGUGAGUAACACGUAUCCAACCUGCCGAUGACUCGGGGAUAGCCUUUCGAAAGAAAGAUUAAUACCCGAUGGCAUAGUUCUUCCGCAUGGUGGAACUAUUAAAGAUUUAUCGGUGAUGGAUGGGGAUGCGU